GGGAGGGUGGGUGUAUCAACAGAGUAAUAAACAAUGAGAACAGUGCUGCAGCAGCCACAGUGAAGGCUGAGAAGAGCCAGGAAAAGAUAGCACAAGGAGGAGAGCACGCGUUAGGGAAAGACAAGACAUUCACUAGAGCUGGAGCAGGAAGAGGCUGCCUGAUUCAUUCUACACUGAAACUUUAGAGGAAAGUGGCUGUCAUGGAGGCUGGAGGCACCAAGGAGCAGGAGGAGGCCCAGAAGAGCAAUGGACGAGAGAAGGGAGAGUCAGGAGAUGUUCAGCCUGAGGCCAAGGAAAAGAGUGGGGCUGGGGCAACCGAGGCUGCUGUGAACAACAAGAUAUAUGGCGAGAAUGAGGCCGAGGAAACAAAGGCUUCUGGGAAUGAGGCUCAGGGAGGCCAGGAGCCUGCAGGGAAGCCUUUGGAGACGGAGAAGGAGCAGGGUGUGGAGACCAGAGAGAAAGCAGAGGAGGCCAGAAAGGAAGGCCAGGGAGAGGCCGAGGAUAGAGUGGCUGUUGGUGUAUCUGGAACAGAGUCCAAGGAAGAAGCUGAUGGUACUGGAACACCAGAAGGACUGCAGGAGGGGGAAGGAGGAGAAGGUGUUGCCUUGGGAGGAAAUGUCAGCAGUCCCAGCAAAGAGGGCCGAACUGGCAGCACUUCUGAUGAACCUCUCUCACCUGAGCCAGAGGAAGAUGGAGAAUACUGGCCAGAAUUCUCUCCAAGCUCUCCUGAUGAAGGACCAGAAAGCCCCACAGGGAUCAAUCACCCGGAGACAGGUAGCACCGCUUCAGACUCACCUGCUCCAGAAGGUGCCACGGAGGACACUAUCAGCCCUGAAGUUACCCCAGAGCAGGACAAGGAGCAGCCGCCUGCUCCUGAGGAUGCAGCCACCACAAAGGAGAAAAAGAAGAGGCCCACAUUUGACCGGAGAGAGCUAACACGGCCACGUGUGCCACCCAGAGGUCAAUCCCGCAAGGCCAUUAUGGAGAAGUUUGGAGGGGCUGCAAGUGGUCCUGCCCCCAAUAUCAAGAGGACGGGAGGUGCAAAUACUGUGAAGAACAUGUUGCUGGAGUGGUGCCGAGCCAAGACACGUGGUUAUGAGCAUGUGGACAUCCAGAACUUCUCCUCCAGCUGGAGCAGCGGCAUGGCCUUCUGUGCCCUCAUCCACAAGUUCUUCCCGGAUGCCUUUGACUACAUGGCUCUUGACCCAGCAAAGCGCAGAGAGAACUUUGCCCUGGCCUUCUCCACUGCUGAGAAGCUCGCCGACUGUGCCCAGCUUCUGGAGGUGGAUGAUAUGGUGCGCAUGAGUGUUCCUGAUAACAAGUGCAUCUACACUUACAUCCAAGAGCUCUACCGCAGCCUGGUGCAGAAAGGGCUGGUGAAGACCAAGAAGCAAUAAACAUGGAAGGCAGGCUUCUGCUGGAGGCUGCUUGGAAACAACAGAGGAAAGUAUGGCUGGUGUGGGGGACAGGGAGAAGGCAACAUGGGAUGUACCCCCGUCUCUUUUCUACUAUUUCCUACAUACAGCACUGGCUUGAACUACAGUGGUUAUUCCUUCUUGAAGUGUGGUACACACAGACUUCCUGCCAGUAUGCUUGAAAGAUAAACAGGGAAGGGAUUAUUGCCUCCAUCCUGAGGGGUCACUAAUCAUCUUCAAAGAUCUGGCCUCCAUGAAAACAGAACUUGGAAUAAGUAAUAAUCCUGGUGCCUCUUUAGCAAGCCACUGCCACCAAUUCCAUUCCCUUUCCUUUUGGCUACAAAUGCUAGAAAAUUCUCUUUCAACUCAUGCUGCAAUCAUACUUCACUUCUACAACACUUCAUCCAUUAAAGCACAGUUUAAAGGCAA